AUGCUGAGAUCUGUGCAGAAACAUAAGGUGCUGAAAUUUAUGGAGGAGGAAGAGAAAGAGUGGAGGAUUCAGGAAGUGGGGGAGAGAGUGACAUUGUGUCGUAUCACAUCCUCCAACUCAGCACCUGCAGUCGCUCCCAGCUGCAGCAGUGCAAGUGUCAUUGUGUCGUAUCACAUCCUCCAACUCAGCACCUGCAGUCGCUCCCAGCUGCAGCAGUGCACUGUCUAUUCCUUUCUCAACUCUGUGUGUGUGUGUGUGUGUGUGUGUGUAGGCCUCACCCAGCCCAGUGUGACGGUGUUGCCCCCCUCCAGUGUGGAGCUGCAGCAGGAGAAGGUCACACUCGUGUGUGUGGCCUACAAGGGCUUCCCCUCGGACUGGAGGCUGAGCUGGAAGGUUGAUGGGAGCAGCUGGAGCUCGGGGGAGAGCCGCAGCACCGCAGUUCUGCAGGCGGACGGCCUCUACAGCUGGAGCAGCACGCUGAGCCUCCACCCGUGUCAGUGGAGGAACAAGGUGGUGACCUGUGAGGCCUCCAAGGACAACCAACCACCUGUGGUGAGCACAGUGAACACAGAGCAGUGCUGAGAGCUGUGAGCUCACACACACGUUACUCAGCUCACCUUCUACUGCUUCACUGUGUGUUCCAUGUGGCCUUUACUGCUCAAAUGUCCCACUUUCAUCAUUUCAUCUGAGUUAUUGACAUGUGAGCUCACACACUCCUCACUUUAACUCAGCUCUUCUUCUUAUCACCUAAAUAUGUGUUAAGUGUGUGUAUCACUG